CCUACGGUGGGCAGCAGUGAGGAAUAUUGGUCAAUGGGCGAGAGCCUGAACCAGCCAAGUCGCGUGAGGGAGUACUGCCCUAUGGGUUGUAAACCUCUUUUGUCGGGGAGCAAAAGCCGGACGUGGUCGGCUGUGAGAGUGCCCGAAGAAAAAGAAUCGGGUAACUCCGUGCCAGUAGCCGCGGUAAUACGGAGGAUGCGAGCGUUAUCCGGAUUGAUUGGGUUUAAAGGGUGCGCAGGCGGAGUUUUAAGUCAGCGGUAAAAUCGUGGGGCUCAACCACAUCCAGCCGUUGAAACUGGGGAUCUAGAGUGUGCGAGAGGUAUGCGGAAUGCGUGGUGUAGCGGUGAAAUGCAUAGAUAUCACGCAGAACCCCGAUUGCGAAGGCAGCAUACCGGUGCACAACUGACGCUCAGGCACGAAAGCGUGGGUAUCGAACAGGAUUAGAUACCCGAGUAGUC
rnacentral:rRNA from 1 species